rnacentral:tRNA from 1 species
GUGAGAGUCGCCUAAUUGGCUAUGGCAUCUGCCUUCCAAGCAGAAAUAAUACGGGUUCAAGUCCCGUCUCUCACG